rnacentral:rRNA from 1 species
GGAGGACCGUGCGCGCCUGUCCGGUAUCGUCCAAGUCUCCAUGAAUGGGGCCAGCAACCCAGAGAGGGUGUCAGGCCCGUGGGACGAGCCGCGACCGUAGCAUUGGGUCUCUCCUUAGAGUCGGGUUGCUUGAGAGUGCAGCCCUAAGCGGGAGGUAAACUCCUUCUAAGGCUAAAUACGGCCACGAGACCGAUAGCGAACAAGUACCGCGAGGGAAAGUUGAAAAGAACUUUGAAGAGAGAGUUCAAUAGUGCGUGAAACCGUUCAGGGGGUUAAACGGGUGGGCCCUCGAAGGUCGAAAGGUCCCCACUCCCGUCAUCUGUAGGCCGGCUCGUGCUGCUUCCGAUGCCGCUAUGGCACGGGGCUAUGGUGCGGUUGGCCGGUCUACGGGGGCCGCAAGUUGGGGACCCAGUAGGACUCCGCAACCGUCUGGGAGGCCGUCAGAAGGGUUCUGGUAGGAAGCCUCCUCGUGGGGUGGACUCCGGGAUUUUCCGGGCGGUCCUCUCGGCCGUAAACCUGAAUUUCUCCCGCCGGCGUCCGGGGACGAGCUCCUUUCACGAGGGGCUGUCGGUUCUCGGUGUCGGACGCGGGGGAUUCCGCGGAGAGUAGAGUCGGGUCCCACCCGACCCGUCUUGAACACGGACCAAGGAGUCUAACAUGUGCGCGAGUCGUCGGGUUUUUGACUAACCCGAAGGCGCAAUGAAAGUGAAGACCGUCCUCGUUGGCGUGUCUAGGGGAGAUCCCGUCCUGCU